ACUGCACAAUUAAUGACCUAACGGAGGAAAUAUUAAGUUAUGGUUACACUGGACCAAUUAGCCUGGAGGUGAAGGAUGACAUUGUCCGUGCAAUUGUGCUCCAUGCAACCCUGAAGCUGCUUCCCAUCUUAGAGCAGAUAAGAAGUGGCUUGCAGCUGUAUGGAGUCCGUGAGCACAUGACCAAACACCCACAUCUCUGUCAGCCACUUUUUGUCCCAGGGGUAGAAAUGAAGCUGAUGCAGACUAUGUAAUAUCAGUUUGCCGUGCAGACUUUGGUGAAAAGGGCACAUACAAGCAACAAGUUGAGAUUAAGAUAAUAAACUAUUUACAAGACUUCCUUCAGGAACUUGAGCAAGAUGAAAAUCCACCUAUGGUUGGGACAACUGGUCAGCCCUCCCUUUGUCCAAGAACAUUCCUUCAGUGGCUCACAGGACAGGGACACAUUCCUGUUCUGGCAGAAGAGAAGAGACAUUUUUUUAUCACUGUUAAAUUCAAUCAGUUUAGUUCACAUAAAAUUUGUUACCCAACGGUGGCAGCUUGCACCAAUACAAUUACACUCCCGGUAAAACAUAUGCAAAGUUAUGAAGACUUCAAAAUAGUCAUGGUAGAAGCAUUCUAUCUUGGGCAGGAAUUUCACAAUGUUUAGGUACUAAAGCGUGCCUUUAAUGCAACAUUAUCCCACCACAUGGCACUGAAGUGUUUUUCUUUGUGUAAGUUUUACAUGAUGUUUAGAAUUACAUAGGUUCAGUUAUAUGUUCAGUCAUAUAUUAAAGGAAAUCUUAAAGCAAAGGAAUUAACAUAAUCAGUUUCACAAAUGUGAUAAAAAGAAAUGCAUAUA